UCCUAGCCCCGAUUGCAGAGAAAAUCCUUUUUGCAGCCUUCCGCAGGUGUAUUCCGACAGCGGUUGAAGCAAAAAGAUUGCAACGAAAAGCGGGAAAAAGC
rnacentral:sRNA from 1 species